rnacentral:rRNA from 1 species
GAUGAACGCUGGCGGUAUGCUUAACACAUGCAAGUCGAACGGACUCUUCGGAGUUAGUGGCGGACGGGUGAGUAACGCGUGAGAAUCUGGCUUUGGGUUCGGGACAACCACUGGAAACGGUGGCUAAUACCGGAUGUGCCGAGAGGUAAAAGAGAAAUUGCCUGAAGAUGAGCUCGCGUCUGAUUAGCUAGUUGGUGAGGUAAAGGCUCACCAAGGCAGCGAUCAGUAGCUGGUCUGAGAGGAUGACCAGCCACACUGGGACUGAGACACGGCCCAGACUCCUACGGGAGGCAGCAGUGGGGAAUUUUCAGCAAUGGGCGAAAGCCUGACGGAGCAAUACCGCGUGAGGGAAGAAGGCUCUUGGGUUGUAAACCUCUUUUCUUAGGGAAGAACAAAAGGACGGUACCUAAGGAAUCAGCAUCGGCAAACUCCGU